AUACGUAGGGGGCGAGCGUUGUCCGGAAUGAUUGGGCGUAAAGGGCGCGUAGGCGGCCUGUUAAGUCUGGAGUGAAAGUCCUGUUUUCAAGAUGGGAAUUGCUUUGGAUACUGAUGGGCUUGAGUGCAGGAGAGGUUAUCGGAAUUCCCGGUGUAGCGGUGAAACGCGUAGAGAUCGGGAGGAACACCAGUGGCGAAGGCGGGUAACUGGACUGCAACUGACGCUGAGGCGCGAAAGUGUGGGGAGCAAACAGGAUUAGAUACCCUGGUAGUCCACACUGUAAACGAUGAAUGCUAGGUGUAGGGGGUAUCGACCCCUUCUGUGCCGCAGUCAACACAAUAAGCAUUCCGCCUGGGGAGUACGGCCGCAAGGUUGAAACUCAAAUGAAUUGACGG
rnacentral:rRNA from 1 species